CUGAGUAGGGGCAAUAAGGUGAUAGGACAUGGACUUGGCUUACUGGGCCGGGUCUUGGGUCAGUGGUAUUCUGGCCCGCCCUAUCCAAGUAGGGAGUUGACCCAUGUGUCCUGGCUGAAAGGUUAGGCUGCCUGGGUACUAAAGUGGAGGGGACUGCGUGAGGCUGGAUUCACAGAGCAACGAAAACCUCCCGCUCUUGUCAGUGGAAGGAUAACGGGUCUGUGCCACCCGGAUCCAUUAGCGCCUGGUUGAUUGAGAUCUCAGA
rnacentral:SRP_RNA from 1 species